ncrna:unclassified sequences Bacteroidales-2 RNA
GCACGUCCCGAACCUUUUCCAGUUCGGCAGCAAACUUGCGAGCGGUUACGGCUGGUGAUUAUGUGCAUAACAUUGGCAUACACUUUUCUCAAGUUUCCGUGCGGAUAGUUUUUACCGCAUAGCGAUUUUUAUCUCCGAGCGCACAAGGGCGCAUUUAUGGCAUUAUUCUAUCGCCUCUCUUUUCCAUACGACUCUCGCACUCCCAAAUUUGCGUGCUUUGCGUAUGCGGUCUAAAAACACGUUUUUAGCUGUUCCGACUUGCUACAUUGGUUUGUAGUUCCGCUCGGUGUGGUUAUUUAACACCCUAUUUAAGCGUUCCGAAACGCACGGACGAAUUUUUGAUUUUCCAAGCCUCAAAAAUAGGUUUCCCACAAAAAGGGCUUUUUGUUU